rnacentral:pre_miRNA from 15 species
UUCAGUCAGCAUUCGUGGUUGAGGAUAUCGAACACAAAAAAAGAUAUCAUCGAUCACGUGUGAUGACAGAU